UUAGCAUGAAAAUUAAUAUUUAAUGAUAUAUUUAUAUUUGGUAUUGAUCUUUUAACGCACAUUAAAAUAAUUUUUAUUAUAUAUUACUAUACAAAUAAUUGCUUUUGAAACUUAAAAGAAUUGAAUAUCUCUUCUUUUUUUUUUGCCUGUUUUGUUGGUGAAUCUGAGUGUUUCACUGCAACACCACGUUUGCUGAUUUCUUGUGAAAGAGCAUCAGUUGAUGUCAACUAUUUUUGUGUCUAUUUAUGCAUCAUCAUCGCAAUGGGGGUUGGCGUUUCCAAGAUGAUUGUUGAAAGCAACAGCCUGCAGAUGCAGAUGCUAAGUACUCAUCAUGAAAAUGGUCAACAAUUCUAUGUCAUUGAGAUAAUGUUGGAUUGCCUAUAUUUUGGUAGUUAGCUAAUAUUGACCUUCAUUGUUUUAUUUUAUUUUUACAACUAAAGUGAGACAACUUUUGCAAUUCUUUUAUUUUUGAGAGAAUAUUUUUAAAAUAUAUUUAUAUUAAAAAUAAAAAAAUAGAUAAAAAUAAUUACAUGCAAUAUUAAAUGGCUUACCUCAGGCCAUAUAUAGGAUUGAUUAUUUAAUGUUCAAAUAAUCAGAGUUGUCAAAUUGACCUACCUGACGCCAUAUAACCUUGAUCCAUAUGGGUUAGGCAGAAGAAACCUAUAGUCUUGUGGGUUAAGCUCAGCCCAUGAGUCUUAAAUUUAUGAAAAUCUUGAAGAUAAAUUUGGUUUCCUUAUUUUAUCAAAUUCACAAUUUUAGUUCUAUUUUAAAAUAAAUACAUUUAUUUUUCUUAUUUUAGAAAAUCUGUAAGUUUAGUUCAAUUUCCAAUUUUGCCUACAUCUAUUAUUUUUUAUUGUCAAUGUCAUUCACAUUUAAGCUUUCUGCUAAUUUACAAAGAAACGUGCAAUUGUUUUGGUUCUCCUUUUUGGUCGAAGCAAUUAUUUUUGUUAAUUAUGUCGUCUUUGCUUUGGGUACAAUAACCACGACGUAUAACAGUAGCAUCAGAUUGUUGGUCCAGAUUUCCAUAUUUUUGCCUUGGCAAAAUUUCCUAAAAAUGACUCCCACAUCCCUUUCUUUUGAAAUUUCAAAGUAAUCCUUUGUCCAGCCUACAGCUGCCAAGUCAAAUUCCGAACCAAGAAAAAACCCUAGAAUAUUUUAUGUAUCUUUGUUAAUGUUUUGAUUUCAAAGAACCAUAACAGACUCAAUUUGAGUUUGUUACAAAGUCCAAUGGCAUGUUGAUAUUCAGACACUCAGAUACGAUCAGAAAUCCUCUGUGCAUAACUACCUCUAGUUAUUACUAUAUGGACACAUAAAUGAAAAAUUCUGUCAAAUACCACUCUGCAUCGACACACCUUUGAGGAACCAGUCUGCUAAAUCUAAAUUUGUAAUAAAGUCCAGCACUAUGUUCACAUUCUAAAUAACUCAGUCAAUAAUAAACAAAGCACAAUCUAUCCACCAAUUCAAAAUUUCAUUAAAACUUACUACAUUUUCCACUACAAUUCAUUUCCAUUUUUCCCAGCAAGCAAUAACAAAUAUCCAUUGCCUAAACCGAACAAAACCUCACAUUCAAAAUCCCAACAACGGUAAUAGUAUAUAAUAACCAAAAUUCAAAGCUAAGGAGAAAAAACUACAACCGCAUAAUACACUUGAUCUGGUGCAAAAUAGAUGUCGCUCCAAACAUUGCGGAUAGCAACAACAAUAAUAAUUAUAAAAAACCCUAACCUUUUUUAUUUGAGAGUUUUGUGAACGGCAACAGAUUCCGACGAAUUACGUGUCUCCACCACUUGCUGCUGCUUGAUGAUGGUGUUCCUCUCGUAUUCGCGAUACUUGUUGAUUGCGGCGGUGCAGAUCACUGAAAGGGUUCGUUUUAAAUUCGAUGCAAGUAACUAACAGAGGAAAAUGUGUGUGUGUGUGAGAGAGAGAGAGAGACGGAAUUGGAUUACCUGCGGCGCCGACGAAGGAAACGAGACGGAGGAGCUUGGGGCCGGCGGGGCCGGAAAUCUCUUCUCCGGUCAUCUCUCUCCGCCGCCGAUGACUGCUACUAACUCACUUCUCUUCACUAGCUGCCUUGCUCGCUCGCUAUCUUUGCACUUCAGUAAGGGCUUGUAAGUUAUAAAGCUUUUCUUGUAAAACUGGUUAUUUUCAUU
rnacentral:lncRNA from 1 species